UACGGGGGGGGCAAGCGUUGUUCGGAAUUACUGGGCGUAAAGGGUUCGUAGGUGGCUUGCUAAGUCGAACGUGAAAUCCCCGGGCUCAACCCGGGAACUGCGUCCGAUACUGGAAGGCUUGAAUCCGGGAGAGGGAUGUGGAAUUCCAGGUGUAGCGGUGAAAUGCGUAGAUAUCUGGAGGAACACCGGUGGCGAAGGCGACAUCCUGGACCGGUAUUGACGCUGAGGCGCGAAAGCCAGGGGAGCAAACGGG
rnacentral:rRNA from 1 species